GCACGACUAGUUAAAAACAAACAUCCUUUGACAAGAAGUUUCUAAUUAAAUCAUGGCUGCGUCUAGGCAGCAUUAUUAUGAGAAUGAAGGUGGAUGUGCUGCUACUUCCCACUCCCCUUGAUGAGCAACAAGCAUCUGCAUUGAGUAAUGCAAGAGUGAGAUGAAACAUCUCAGCAAGCUAAUUGUUCUGACGAGAUAUUUAAACCACAAAUUGAAUUCAUCAACAUUUUAAAAGAGUCACAAUUAAAAAUCAGAAAUGCUUGUAGAUAUAGAACUCAGUAGUCCCACUAUAACCAAUACCAUCUCAUUUCCUCGAACAACCACAAUAGGUUCUAUAACACUUCCCUGCGUCAACAAUACCUGCAAAUAUCACUUCAAUGUAUGCAUAGGAAUGCAAUGUGUAGGUACUCUAUCUUCAUACCUCUGGGGGUAUAAAACCACAUCAUCUGCAAAUAUCACUUCAAUGAAUGCAUAUGAAUGCAAUGCAUAUGUCCUCUGCCUUCAUACCUCUAAGGGUAUGAAGCCGCAUCGUACCCCUUCUCGGGCAACGUACGAUGCUAAGUUGUACCGGUACGGUCGGACCAUAGGUCACGACAAAACUUCAUAUGCAAAUGAGUCAUGCAAUGUAUAUGGCAUGCUACAUUUAUCAAUAAACUUCACUUCCUUCAGAUACAACACAAACCUCAAAUAAUACUUCAUUUACCUUCAGAUACAAUACCAACCUCAAAUAAUACUUCAUUUACCUUCAGGGGUGUGAAUUAAUCUCAUGAGUCAUACUCAAAUCAUAAUCAUCAUCAAUAUAUGAUUGAGCAUCAGUAUAAUGCAAGCAAGUAAAGCAUCACCAUAGAGUCCAAUUAUGAAAGAAUCUGAUACUUCUGAAUAUUAGAGUGUAGGCGAUAGAAAUAACAGGUCAGAACGGAAGCAACCACCGCUACAUUCACUUGCCUUCAUCGAAGAAGAAGAAAUGUACUAGACAUGAUCUGGAGUGUAGCCACCUGCUAGUGGGCAUAAAACUUAGUACAAAUAUUUCACAAACAUUUGCCAUCAAUCAACAAAACACUCCUACACUUGAAACCAAGACCCAGUGGAAAGACUCCCACCCUGAACCACAUGCCAUACAGCAGCAACGCUGUUUGUUAAUUUUGUAUCUUCAAAAUUAAAACAGCGGUGAUAUCAAACAAAUACUCCAGGAGUAUCUACACAAAAUACUCUACAACUUCAGUAUUCAAUAGAUAAUUAAAUUCUGCCAUCUACAAGUUCUAAAACAUCUGACAAGAUAACUGACUGAAUCUGUUUUAGACAGCAGUAUGGUUAACUUUAAAAUUCGAUAUCUCCAAAACUGCUGAACCAAAAAUUAUGAAAUUCUGCUGGAAGUAAGAACUUUUAUCCCUCUACAAAAGUCUCCAUAGUUGGAAGAGCCAAUUCGGCCAUUUACUAGAUGAAACCCACCAGUGAACAGACCCACUCAUUUUUGUCAGGUAAACAGGAACAGCCACAGUAAAACAAACAUAACUGGAGUUUCACAAAUCAUAUGAAUGCACUCUUUAACAAUCUGGAAAGCUUAUAAAAUUAUCUACAACUUCUUUUACCAACCCACAGUUUAAUUCUGUUGAUAAAAUUGCCUAAAUCUUAAGAGAACAGAUUCUGCACAGAAUUAUGAGACUGAAAAACUGCUAUAGUAAAACUGCAAUAACUUUCUGGUAGGAUGUCCGAUUGAGGUGUUCUUCGCGGCCACGGAAAGAUCUACAAAUUAUCUACGACUCAUACAUAGACUUUUUAUUUUUUUGAGGCCACUAAGACUACGGAAAACUGGCAUGAACAGAAACUGUCGAAUCUGCCAUUCUGCAGAAAACUAAAUUCGAGAUCAAAACCUAACCCCACAUCAAAUCCAACCUCUAAUCCUUUAAUUCCCAUGAUCCACAACCUCCAAAAGCCUAUAAUUACAGGGAGGAACAAGGAUCUCAUCCAUACCUAGGGUUUCCCCAAGAAAUCUUCAAGAGAAGAUGGAGAAGAACAUCUCCUUGAUCCUCUCUUCCUCUUCAAUUCAACGUGCCCCUCCUUUUCUCGAUCCUUGCUGCGUAGGGGGAGAUCUUGGGGGAGGAAGCAAUGGAGGAUGGCUGCCAUAGGGGGAGGGGGCGUCCAGCCAAGGG
rnacentral:lncRNA from 1 species